rnacentral:lncRNA from 1 species
UUUGGUGAAAUGGGGUCAAGACAAAUUGAAUUUAGGCUUACCUUGGUUGUAGUGGACGGCAUAGAGGGCAUAUGGGGCUGUGGCAAUGGUGGUUAUUCCCUUACCGUGGCCUUAUUAUUCUCCUCUUCUUCGAGCAUCAGCUGUUCAUCCAUGUUUUUGCUUGGUUUGGAUGUCUUGGGUUCACCUCCAACCUCCAUAGCACUUCCCAAAGUGAUAACAUCAUGGAUUUCAAAAUCUUCCUUCAAAUUUUCAAUAGUUGAGUUGGAUAGUUCACUUUGCUCUUGAAUUUGUGCCGUGAAUUCCAUAAUCUCUCCAAGUUGAUUUUUCAAUUCACUUAUCUCCUUUGCUUGAUUCAGCAUUAUUUCAUUUUGAUUUUGCUGCCCCUGCACCAAAGAGGUUAGUAAUUGAAAAAUUUGAUCACUAUCCGUGGACAUACUUGAAUUUGAUUGGAAUUGUUAUAGGGGAAACUGUGGUGGCUGCAUAGCUGUUAAAUAAAACUCAUCAGAUUGCUGCCAAUAUCCAUCUUGUUGAGCCUCCUUGGUUUGAUUUUGUGAGCCCUACACCAAAGAAUUUAUUUCAUCAAAAAUUCGAUCAUAAUCUAUUGACGAACCUGAGUUUGAUUGAGCAUAUUGUAUAUGAGGUUGUGAUGGCUACAUAGGUCUUGAAUGGAACUCCUCUUCUUUCUGCCAAUAUCCAUCUUGUUGGAAUUGUUGAGGUUCUAUGUAAUCUAAAUAAUCUCUCCAAUCCGAAUUGUAAGCGUUGGAAAACAUGUUGUCCCAUGAUUGGCUAUGGCCUUGAUAACCCCAAGCAUCUUCAUUCGUAGGGAAUUAAGAAUAUUGCUGAGUUGGAUAUCAUUGCCCAUAGGACAUACCACAUGUAAGGACAUUUUGCAUUGUGGUCCUUUCGACAUAUUGUGACAAUUGAGAAGUAAUUUCCGCCAAUUGAGCUUGAAUGGUAGCAAAAUCCAUGUCUUACUUCUCUAGUACCUGAAAUCAAGGAAACAAAACUAAAUCAAAUAUCAAAAGUAAAACACAAAAAAAAAAAAAAAAAAAAAAAAACGCAAACAGAAACAAAGUCAGUAAGUAAAAACAAAAGACACGAAAAUAAACAAAAAUAAAUAACAAGGGAUUAGCAAAGUUGCUAAUCCCCGGCAACGGCGCCCAAAAACUUGAUGCGAAAAUUAUCUUGACACACAAAUUUAACCCUCUUUUAACAAUUGUAGUACAAGUAUAAGUAGGGAUCGUUCUGGACCGGGGAUUAGGAGGGCUUGCUAAUAACCUCUAAACUGACUCAAAAACAUAAAACUAAAUUUAAAAACACUUAACAAGACUCACAAGACUCAAAGCAAACUAAAAAUACUCAAAACAGCUUAAAACAACCAAAUAAACUUAAACUAGACACUAGGAAUGACUUUGGACGAAAAUUGACUUUUACUUGAAUCAAAACACUUAAAAACACAAAUUAAAACAGAUUUGAAACACUUUGAAACAAGAAACUAAAAGGGGGUUUUGAUUUGGAUGAAGUUGAAACAAACAAACAAGUAUGAAAAACUAGACAGAUUGUAAAACGAAUGUGAGAAAUAAGAUAAUGGAUGGGAUAGCUAGAGGCUUUUUCUCCACACAUGACAUGUAUGCAAAUAACUCGAUUUCCAGUUACUACUUCAUUGAAUUAUGAAUGACAAUGCUCCAAAUUAACCGUGACAUCACUAAUUAACUAUCAGAUUUUCCUUAUUUGAUUGGAUUAGAUGACAUCAUUCGACAACCCAAAACAUUCUUCAAAAGUUCCCUACAUGACAUCAUAAUAGAGAUACAAUC